CAGGCCUAACACAUGCAAGUCGAACGAAGGCUUCGGCCUUAGUGGCGCACGGGUGCGUAACGCGUGGGAAUCUGCCCCUUGGUUCGGAAUAACAGUUGGAAACGACUGCUAAUACCGGAUGAUGACGUAAGUCCAAAGAUUUAUCGCCGAGGGAUGAGCCCGCGUAGGAUUAGCUAGUUGGUGGGGUAAAGGCCUACCAAGGCGACGAUCCUUAGCUGGUCUGAGAGGAUGAUCAGCCACACUGGGACUGAGACACGGCCCAGACUCCUACGGGAGGCAGCAGUGGGGAAUAUUGGACAAUGGGCGAAAGCCUGAUCCAGCAAUGCCGCGUGAGUGAUGAAGGCCUUAGGGUUGUAAAGCUCUUUUACCCGGGAUGAUAAUGACAGUACCGGGAGAAUAAGCUCCGGCUAACUCCGUGCCAGCAGCCGCGGUAAU
rnacentral:rRNA from 1 species